rnacentral:rRNA from 1 species
UACGGGGGGGGCAAGCGUUGUUCGGAAUUACUGGGCGUAAAGGGCUCGUAGGCGGCCAACUAAGUCGGAUGUGAAAUCCCCAGGCUUAACCUGGGAACUGCAUCCGAUACUGGAUGGCUUGAAUCCGGGAGAGGGAUGCAGAGUUCCAGGUGUAGCGGUGAAAUGCGUAGAUAUCUGGAGGAAUACCGGUGGCGAAGGCGGCAUCCUGGACCGGCAUUGACGCUGAUGAGCGAAAGCUAGGGGAGCAAACGGG